UGGGGAAUAUUGCACAAUGGGCGCAAGCCUGAUGCAGCCAUGCCGCGUGUAUGAAGAAGGCCUUCGGGUUGUAAAGUACUUUCAGCGGGGAGGAAGGUGUUGUGGUUAAUAACCACAGCAAUUGACGUUACCCGCAGAAGAAGCACCGGCUAACUCCGUGCCAGCAGCCGCGGUAAUACGGAGGGUGCAAGCGUUAAUCGGAAUUACUGGGCGUAAAGCGCACGCAGGCGGUCUGUCAAGUCGGAUGUGAAAUCCCCGGGCUCAACCUGGGAACUGCAUCCGAAACUGGCAGGCUUGAGUCUUGUAGAGGGGGGUAGAAUUCCAGGUGUAGCGGUGAAAUGCGUAGAGAUCUGGAGGAAUACCGGUGGCGAAGGCGACCACCUGGACUAAUACUGACACUGAGGUGCGAAAGCGUGGGGAGCAAACA
rnacentral:rRNA from 1 species